AGCGAACGCUGGCGGCGUGGCUUAGGCAUGCAAGUCGAGCGAGAAAGCCCGCAAGGGUGAGUAAAGCGGCGAAAGGGUGAGUAAUAUAUAGGCAAUCUGCGCUUCGGACCGGGAUAAUUCCUGGAAACGGGUUGUAAUACCGGAUGGCCCAGCGAGGACGCAUGUCCAUGCUGGUAAAUGGUAGCUUUGCUUCUGCCGAGGAAGGAGCCUAUAUCCCAUUAGCUAGUUGGUAGGGUAACGGCCUACCAAGGCUUUGAUGGGUAGCCGGACUGAGAGGUUGGCCGGUCACACUGGGACUGAGAUACUGCCCAGACUCCUACGGGAGGCUGCAGUCGAGAAUCUUCCGCAAUGGGCGCAAGCCUGACGGGGCGACGCCGCGUGAACGAUGAAGGCCUUCGGGUUGUAAAGUUCUGUCACGGGGGAAGAACAACUACGGGUUAACAGCCCUGUAGUCUGACGUUACCCCGGAAGGAAGCCAUGGCUAACUCCGUGCCAGCAGCCGCGGUAAUACGGAGAUGGCAAGCGUUGCUCGGAUUUACUGGGCAUAAAGCGCACGUAGGCGGGCCUACAAGUCGGUUGUGAAAUCCUGGGGCUUAACCCCAGAACUGCGGCCGAUACUAUGGGCCUUGAGGGUGAGAGGGGAGAGUGGAACUUCUGGUGGAGCGGUGAAAUGCGUAGAUAUCAGAAGGAACACCGGUGGCGAAAGCGACUCUCUGGUUCACUACUGACGCUGAGGUGCGAAAGCUAGGGGAGCAAACGGGAUUAGAUACCCCGGUAGUCCUAGCCGUAAACGAUGGGCACUAAGUAGGGGAGGUUCUGACACCUUCUCUACCGGAGCUAAUGUAUUAAGUGCCCCGCCUGGGGAGUAUGAUCGCAAGGUUAAAACUCAAAGGAAUUGACGGGGGCUCACACAAGCGGUGGAGCAUGUGGUUCAAUUCGAAGCAACGCGCAGAACCUUACCUGGGCUUGACAUGCUUAGUGUAGUCUGAUGAAAGUCGGAUGAACCGGGUAACCGGAAACUUUGCACAGGUGCUGCAUGGCUGUCGUCAGCUCGUGUCGUGAGAUGUCGGGUUAAGUCCCUUAACGAGCGAAACCCUUGCCGCUAGUUACCAACAGGUCAUGCUGGGGACUCUAGCGGGACUGCCGUGGUUAACACGGAGGAAGGCGGGGAUGACGUCAAGUCCUCAUGGCCCUUACGCCCAGGGCUACACACGUGCUACAAUGGUCGGUACAAAGGGACGCAAAGCGGUAACGUGAAGCAAAUCCCAUAAAGCCGACCCCAGUACAGAUUGAGGGCUGCAAUUCGCCCUCAUGAAGCCGGAAUCGCUAGUAAUCGCGGGUCAGCCAUACCGCGGUGAAUAUGUUCCUGAGCCUUGUACACACCGCCCGUCAAGCCAUGGGAGCUGGUAGUACCCGAAGUCGCUGACCCAACCGCAAGGAGGGAGGCGCCGACGGUAAGACCGGUGACUAGGACU
rnacentral:rRNA from 1 species